UUCUGUCGGCCCAAGCCUCUAGUUGUCCGUCUUCUUUGCGUUUUCACGCGAACUCGCGAAGACAUCAUCGCAGCGCAGCCCUAAAUUUCCCAUUCUCUUCGCGUGAAAACUGAGAGGGCUAUACCCAUCUUCUUCAUUGUUUCGCCGUCUGCAAUCAAGGGCGACUGGGCGAGACUUGUCGUCUGUUAGGUUAGUUGAUUUGGUCAUUGGCUCUCUUGGGGUUGAUGGUCGUGGGCAAAUGGCGAGACCUCUUAUUGGCAGUGGGCUCUGUUGAUCGCAGUAGGCUCUGCUGGUUCUGUUGGUUGCUAUAGUUGAAGGUCGCAAUAGGCUCUUCUGGUUCUGUUUCUCUCAGUAGGCUCCGCUGGUUCUGUAAGUGAGGUCUCAGUAGGAACAUUGGAAGUUGAGCCAUAUCGCAAGCCAUUAUGGGAUUUGAUAACGAGUGCAUACUGAACAUCCAGUCUCUGGCGGGCGAGUAUUUCUGUCCUGUUUGUCGUUUGCUUGUGUACCCAAAUGAAGCGCUACAAUCCCAAUGCACUCACCUUUACUGUAAACCAUGUUUAACAUAUAUUGUGAGCACUACCCGGGCUUGCCCCUAUGAUGGUUAUUUGGUGACAGAAGCAGAUUCGAAGCCUCUUAUAGAAUCAAAUGAGCCACUUGCUGAAACCAUUGGCAAAAUAAUUGUUCGCUGUCUAUAUCAUAGAAGUGGUUGCACGUGGCAGGGUCCUCUAUCCGAUUGUACAACUCAUUGUUCUGAAUGUGCUUUUGGCAACUCACCAGUUGUCUGCAACAGGUGUGCAGUUCAAAUUGUGCAUCGUCAAGUGCAGGAACAUGCACAAAAUUGUCCUGGCGUGCAGCAGCCUCAGGGUGGUCAGGAAGUCACGGCCACGAGCACAGCUACGGUUGGUGAUCAAACCCAGAUUGCUGCACAGGCAGCAUCUCAGGUUCAAAUCACAACAGCCCAAACAGCAGGACAGAAUGUUGCACAGCCAGCAAGUGCAAAUUCCCAGGCCCAGGUUGUCGCUCAGGCUGCUGGGCCAACUCCAGAGCAGUGGUAUCAACAACAGUAUCAACAAUACUACCAGAGCUAUCAUGGAUAUGAUCCAUAUCAACAACACUAUCAGCCGCAGAACCCUUACCAACAGACACCGGUUCCACAGUACCAGCAGCAAUUUCAGGGUUAUGUGCAGGCUCAGCCUGUUUCUCAACCUCAGUUGCAGCCUCAUAUCCAGAGUCAAAGCCAACCUCAGUUGCAAGCACCUCCACACUUUCAGGCACCAGUGGCUACUCAACCACAAAAAGAUUUGGCCAGCUCACAGAACCCUACAGUUCAGUCAUAUCCCCAAGCUCAUCCAGUACACUCUCAUCCUCAACAUCCACCAAUUCCUCAGUAUCAGCAGUCUCAGUUAAGAAUGCAGGAUUCUCAGCUCCAAUCCCAGAACCAAGCUGUUCCUCAACAUCCUGCUAAUGCAAUAGCUCAGCAAACACAAGUUCAAAAUCAUCCACAGCCCCAGCCACAACUCCAGCCUCAUCCCCAGCCUUUACCAAAUCACCCUAUACAAGCACAACCACAGCAUUCCAUCCAUGGAGUUACGGGCUAUCAAUCUUACACACAACAUCAAACGUUUCCACAGAUGCAGUUGGGAGCCCAACAAAAUCAGUUGCACGUGGGGCCUCGUGCACAGUCGCAACAUCCUGCUCAAAUACCUGGUCAAUUUCCUGAACAACAACUUGUCCUUCGUCCUUCCCAUUCUCACUCUACCAUUCCAGACCAUCAACCACCAGUUGUGUUGCCUCCAGGUCAAGUCCCAAACGCUCUUCCUGCUCAACAUUCGGGUGUUAAUCCUCGUGCCCAUCAACCUGGGUUAUCUGUGCCUCAGCGACCUGUUAUGCAGCCCAUUCAACGACCCAUCGGCCAGCAGUUUGUGCAGCAGCAACAACCAUUUGUCAGACCACCAAUGGGCCAAGUUCAGAAUCAGAUGAAUCAGCAAAGUCUUUAUGCACAGCAACUACUGCCUUUGCAGCCUCAGUUAUGCCUUCAGGGCCCAACUUUCCCGCAACAGGCUCAUGUCUAUCCACAGAUGCAGCAGAAUGUUGUCAUGCCAACUAAUAAACUGCAAAAUCUUGUAGGAAAGCCUGUGGUGCCUAUUCAUGGAGCACAAUCACAGCCACAUCUACAAUCUACAGCUGGCAUGCAAGUUGUGCCGAUGCAGAUUGGCCCAACCCUUCAAUCUGCCAAUAAUCCCGCUGAUAAUGACCAAGUCCAAUUGUCAUCCGAACAGCAGGUGAGUUCGAGACCUGCAAUAUCUGGGAAGCAAGGCGAUCUCACUUUUGAAAAAAGUGAAGCAGACCAAGAAUCUGAAACUGAUAAACCUGCAAAUGAUGAUAUUAAGCGCGAUGGAAAAGUUGAAGAGAAAAGUAGUCCUGCUGAUGCAUCUAGUAUGGAGAAUCCAGAAUCUCAUGCAACAGAAAAUAGAGAACCUGUGAUUAAGCAUCCGGUAAAGGAAGAGGUUAUAAGGGGUACUGAGGACAAGAAAGAUGUUUCUAGUGUUGACCAUAAAAAAUUUGAUCAUAUACUCCCAGGGGACAAAAAGUUGGAAAGUCAACUUCUUGAUGAACGGAGUGGGAAGGAUAAGAGUGGAGCUGUAAAACAGUUUCAAUAUCAAAGCGCUGCAGCAGAUGAAUUUCGAGGGCUUCCUAGUCAUGGUGUUCAAGCUGAGGGCCCAUUUACUGAUCAGGGUAGAAAUCAGGCUCCACCUAGCCAUUAUGGACCUUCUGCGCUUCAAGACAGAGCUGUUACCCCUUCAUUGUUCCCAGCACAACUGCCAGGGGACCCUUCCUCCCAAUCUGGACCUUUACCUCAUCGGAGACAGCCUCCAAAUGCCUCCAAUCUCCAGCCACUUGGGUUCCGGCAGCUUCAUAGUACUGAGAGUGGGAUCCUUGGCCCUGAUGCAGCACAUUUUGGGAGUGGACCAGGUCAUGGCGGACUGCAGCAUAGAAUUGAACAGCAGUCAGUUGCUCUUCAAGGACCUUAUAUUCAAGUUCAUGUGCCUCCUCCCCACACUGGGCCUCCUAGAAUAUCUCAUGGUGAACUCACUGGAGGAAUGCCAUCUGGAACACUGCAAUCUAGUGCAUUUGAUUCACAAAGCGGGAUGAUGGCAAGAGCACCUAUGGGUGCUGAAAUACUUCCAAAUAAGAGGCCUGGCUAUAUGGAUGGCAGAGAACCUGAUCUACAUUUUCCUGGGUCCUUGGGACGGGGUUUUGGGUUACAAAGUGAAAUGUUUAAACCUUUCUCGGAAGAUCAUUUGAAUCCCUUACCACUGGACCGUGAUCGACACAUCAUCAGUAGAGGUAAAUUUGAGGAAGAUCUUAAGAAAUUCCCUAGGCCUUCUAGUUUGGAGAAUGAACCUCUUCCAAGAUUUGGGUGUGAUCUGUCUUCAUCUUCAACCCUUAAUCGAGGCCCUCCUGGCUUUGGCAUAGAUUCUGCACCAGGUCCUCAUGACAAGAGACCCUAUGGACUGAACAAUGAUCCAAUGUUAAAAGUAGCCGUUGGUCCUGCCCCAGCAAGAUUCUUGCCUCCAUACGCUGGUGGUGGUAAAUUCCAUCCCACUGAUGCAGGAGAAAUAAUUGUUGGUCGUCGCAAAGAUAGUAUGGGAAAAUCAGAUUCUGAUCGUACUCAUCCUGAUUUCCUUGGACCCGUUCCAGGUUAUGGUCGAUACCACAGCGAUGGUUUGCCUGCUAGAAGUCCAGUCAGAGAAUACCCUGGCAUGACGUCACAUGGAUUUAGAGGAUUGACUGAUGGCGGGGAAUCCCAGCGAUUUGGUGAUCCAAUUGGCCGUUCAUUUCAUGAAAGUAGGUUUCCCAUUUUGCCCAAUAAUGUGCGGAGGGGUGAGUUUGAGGGUCCGGGUAGUUUGCGCUUGGCCGAACAUUUCGUUCAAGAUAGCUUUUCUGGCCAUUCACGAAGAGCUGAACAUUUGAGUUCGCACAACUUGCAUGGUCAUUUGCGACUGGGAGAGCCAGUUGGUUUUGGUGCCUUUCCUGGUCAUAGACGGAUGGAAUUGGCUGGGCCUGGAAACUUCCCUCGUCCUCGACUUGGUGAGCCUGGAUUCAGGAGCAGCCUUUUGCUUCAGGGAGAAAUGGAGCCUUUUGAUAGUACAAGAAAGAGGAAGCCAGUCAGCAUGGGAUGGUGUCGUAUUUGUAAGCAGGAUUGUGGAUCUGUGGAAGGUUUAGAAAUGCACUCUCAAACCAGGGAGCAUCAGAGAAAGGCCAUUGAUAUGGUUUCCAUAAUCAAAGAAAAUGCCAAAAAACAGAAAAUAGUUCCCAAUGAUCGCACCACUCUUGAUGAAACAAGCAAGUCAAAGAAUUCUGGUGUUGAGGGUCGCUGGAAUAAACAUUAGGCAUGAUGAUGUGCUGCAUCCUGGCUAGCAACUGUUUCAUCAAUGUCUUGGGGUCAAAUAUGUUCCUUUGAUAUUCUGCAUUUCCUUCCAUGCAUCUUUUUACUUUCCAGGGUGGUUUAUGCUAGUAUUGUCAUUUCAGGUUGCUGUCAUGUGAAGGGAGUGGGUUUUUGGAACUGAAGUUACUGAUGCAGGCUAUAACAGAAGUUUUGGGGCACCCUUUUCAAUGUUGGAUGGCAAUCCUGGCUUCAAGCUUUUGGUUCUUCGUUAUAUUUUAUCCAGGAUGAUUGUAUGAUAGUUGACGGUGCCAAUGAGUGUGUGGAUAGAUUAUCUAUUACUAGACAAGGCUACUUUUAUCAUUGGAAGCAAUGCUCAUGGAAUUGGCUAUGGUCUCUACUAUAUGCCACUCCUAUUAGUUGGCAGAGAAGCCCAUUGUUUCAGGGUUCUAGUUUUGUUUUUGGCAGCUCUGGAGGAAAACUCACCAGAGCAAGUCAUUCCCAGUUGCCACUCUAGGAAUCGCAAUCUCACAAAGUGCAAGACCUCUACAGUUACAAUUUUGUAAGACCAAUAAAUGAUAUAGGGAUUUACUCCUCAGAUAUGAUGGAUUCAUCCCUCUCUCGUUCAGAUAUGGUGCUUUGGGCGACGAUGUGGGUUUCUCGGUUGUCGCCGUCUUUGUGUUGUCCGUAUCAAGGUUACGAGGUUACGAAGAAAACAUGUCAACAAUUCAAUGGCUUCUCUCCAAAUCUAGUUAUUUGGGGAGUUUUCAAUGCAGUGCACCUAAGUGCCCCUAUUGUUGCGUCAAGAAAAGAGUUGUAGCUCUUCCCCACACUAUUGUUGUGGACUCUUUUUUUGUUCUUGUUAUUGGAUUUCUGGUUUUGUUGUGGUACUGUCUUUGGAGGUGGACGAUCCUCCUCAUGUCUAUAUUAUGUAACCCGUUUGUUAUGAUAUAAGUGUUUCUUUGUUUCUCAAAAAAAAAAAA